rnacentral:tRNA from 1 species
GCCUCUGUAGCUCAGUGGUAUAAGAGCAGUCAUUCUGGUGCCAGACAGUCAUGAGUUUGAAUCCCAUCAGAGACA